AGUUACUAAUACUCCGAGAAGUUUGCAGAUAAUGCAGGUCUGCCUACAAACCUGAAGCAAGACCUAAUUACAUACAGAAUCGGUCCCAGUGCGAUUUACCCCAUUUCUUCUGCUUCGUUACAUCUGCCAGAUAAUCUAAUAUUAGGGAUACAAUUUCCAGCACUCUGAUGUUUCCCUUUUCAUGUUGAUUAUAGCAGUGAAGAUUUUGUGGGGAGGAUGAUAUUGUGUUUAUUAGAAAGAUCAUUCCCAUUUUUCUGCUUUAAUUCAGCAGAUUUAGUUGCUAUGUACAUAACAUUGUCAAAAGCUUUUCACUGGGUCCAAUAGCCCACAUAAAAGUAAUCAUCACUUUCACUGUGUCCUACCUGAUUUUUCUAAAUAAUGUUGCCUCACAUGAACAGGUAUUGUAGUAUUAGGUAUCAGACUUGAAUCUUUUCCAUAUUUUAAGUAACAUUGUUCCAUUUAAAUUAAAAUAAAUAAAUAAAUAAAUCCAAAACGAAACAGCCCAAACCAACAACAACUAAAAAUCAUAAAAUUGAAAGAGGAGACAACGUUAAACUUUUGUUAUGGGUGGGAACAUGGAUGUAUUUUUGGCAAUACUUAUAAUUAUUGAUGAAAGUUUAUAUACUUUUUGUUGGUUAUACAAGAACAUUACAGCAAUCACUCCACUGUACAUUCCCCUGUGGAAGAGAGAGCAGCCAAACAAAGCUGAUAACAGAAGUACUGUUAUUAGCAUUUCCAGCUUGACAAUUAUCCAUCAGGUAACUUCUUGCCAUUGAGAAGCUUCGGUUCUCAAGGAGGUACCAAGUGAUAGAAUUCUUCCUAGUCUGAGCUUAAUAAUGACAUUGAUCAAAAUGCUAAUUUAUGUAGAUUCAUCAGGACAUGAUGAUUAUGGUGAUAAGGCCUCAUGAUUGUAACUUCCAGAGUAAAUGUACUGAAAUGAUAAAUGCAUAUAUCGCAGUUGAAAGAAAUGGCUUCAGCAUUGCAGUUAAUGUUUCAUACAGCCGAACUUCAUUAAGCACAACUCAGCUAAUGACAUCACGGAUUUGUUUCAUUUUAUUAAAUUGCAUUAAUUGGGAAAAUGCAUUGAAAGCUGACUGUGAAGAAAUUUGCUUUUCCCUGGAAUAACUAAAAAAAAAAAAAAGGGGGGGGGGGCUAAUUGGAUUAAUUUGUCCCUUCUCCCUCUAUUAACUAAGAGCAUGAUGAUUCUUUCUCAACUUUAUGUUGUGAAAUACUUUGUGUAUAACAUGAUUCUCAUUAACCAAGUUAAUUGUAGGGGUUUUAAGUGAGAACACUCGCAGGCUGGACCACUGCCAGUUCCAUUCCAAUAGCAUUAAAUGCCAUCUCCCCGGAGACACAUGCCUUUGUUAAAGGCCUGUGUUACCAUUAUUAUUUAUGUUAAAAGAAGCAAUCAACAAGAUCUUGCCAUGGUUCCUUAAACUAUUCAUGCCUGAUCCAUUGUAUCAAACUGCAAUGUUUGUUACAAAAUUGUUGUCUUCUGAGUUCUGAUUGUGAUAAUGAGGCUUUGCGGGAUACAUGUGAUUCAUAGCGAUGCCUCUGAGCUCUUAAAAACAUUGUUGUGCUGCAUUUAAUUAUAGGAACAGAUUCUACAAACAGUUGAAAAUCACAUAAUUUGCAUGUAAUUAUGAGUAUUAUGUAGAUUGGAAAGGGAUAGGUGGCUUUAAUUAUGCAGAAAGUGCAGGUCUCUCUAGUUUUAACCUUCCAUUGUCAAGGAUUCCUAGAAAUUAGAAGUUUACAUUCACAUUAAAAAUCAGCUUAAAAAUCCUUCUGGGAAGGAACUGCUAUUGCAUUUUUCUGUGUAAUGUGUCAAAGAUGCUCUCUUGUUUUUGGGCAGUGCUUACCAGUAAAUUAAUGGUAAAGUUAUUAUGCUGAAGACAAAAAAUAAACUAAUAGUAUGCAGUAAUACCUACUACUAAGUGAUAAUUUCUAUUUAAUUAAAAAUAAACCAACAGUAACUUUUUCAGACAUCAAAGUU
ensembl:lncRNA